CAAAUAUCCAUUAAAUUUGAAGUUUUCCUCAAUCCACAUGAUCCACAAAAUUUGGUACCCACGAAAAUAAAUGAAUCCCCAGUAGGUUAAAUAUGCAAAAGUUGAAGUAAGGGCUAUUCCAGAAAAAAAUGUAGGGGGGGGGGUGGAAGGCAGUUUUUGUCUGCACCCGCCACCCAGACAAUUGUAAUUGAGAAUUAUAGUGUGAAAAGUUGCUCUGAUACCCAUCACCCAUGUAUUAUUGAUAUAAUGUGCCUUCCAACCAUUUUUUCUGGAAUAGCCCUAAGCACAACUUACAGAUGAUUUUUAAGUAGUCUCAUUCAUAUGGUUUACACUUUACUUUAUUAUAAAUAUUACUAGUCUAUUGAAACAAUUUUGACUGUUUGAGGAGCCAUGCAAUAAUUGUUUUCUCAUAUUUACUACUUCUUGAUAUUGCCCUUUAAGUUUUAAAACGAUGUAAAAAAUAUAUAUUAAAAUAGAUAUAAUAAAAAAAAAAUCCUAUAAAGUCAAUUGUAUGUGAAAUGUAAAAUACAUUAAAAGAAAUCCUAUAAAAGAAUGAAUGUGUAUUUCAAAUUCUGUUUGCCUUAGACUAUGGGUUAUGCUCAUUGUUUAAAGCUGUAUGGUGAUCUUAAAUUGCUGACCUAAACACAAUAGUCCUUGUUUGCCUUGAUAUGAAUUCCAAAGAAUUUUUUUUUGAAA
rnacentral:lncRNA from 1 species